rnacentral:sRNA from 1 species
AUUGAUGCAUGAUAGUAAAGAUUCUAAAAUGUAAUUAGAGCACUUCACAACGUAUUUAAGAAUAUCAAUGCGAAUUAUAAGAAACAGUCUUUCAAGCUAUUUCAACUAAGCUAAACUAAUAUCAAAAUGAAACUCUGGCUCAGGUUGGAAGGUAUUUUUCUUGUUGUCCUCGCCUUAAGCAUCCGGGAUAAUUUGGCGGCGCCGCGACCAUUUAUUAAUUUACACGUACCACUCUUUACAAUCGAUGUUGGUGGUAUAAAAAUAAGCACUGCCUAAUCUUGGGAUUGCCAAUAAAUUAGAUAUAUAGAAUUUUUUUAAAUCAAGCAUUUGUAAAUGAAUGAAGUGUGUUGGAUUCCAAAAAGGGAUUGUAUUCCAUUAAAAUGUUCUCUUUUUGUUUUAAAUCGACUCGGUUCGUCGCCCAGAUCAAGUAUUUAUGGUGUUUACCAAAUCCAGUAUACGCUGAAUUUUUAAUGGGCUUUUUUUAAUUAAUGAUCCUUAACAGGGUCCAUGACAUCGUUUAUCAGUCGAUAAUGAAUACUUAUUGCUAUUUAACUGAAGUCGAGGGGAACACUGAAUGACGAAACAACUUAAAUAGCUAUUUUCACACAUUUAUAAUGCAAUUUAAGCAUGAGAAUAGUUUAUAAAAUUAGACAAUUUCACAACGUAUUCAAGUAUAUCGCUUCGCUGCAUAAGAAACAGUCUUUCAAGCGAUUUGAAACUGACACAAUUUCAGCUCUCAACAAAUAUUGAAAAUGAUAUUCUUCAAGUUGGAACCUUAUUUUCUUGUAUUCCUCGUUGUAUGCAAUGUUGAUGUAUUGGUGAAGAAUCAACGCCUUUUAGAUGUAAACGUAGAUAUCGCAACAAUCAACAAUGGUGGCGUGCACAUAGGCUAAGUUUGAAAUUGUAAAUAAAUUAUAUGCUUGCCGAUUGUAUAAAAUGAAGAUUCUACGUGGGCUAAGGCUAAGCUUGAGAUUGUAAUUAAAUUUGAUGCACGGAAUUAUA